GACGAACGCUGGCGGCGUGCUUAACACAUGCAAGUCGAACGGAAAGGCCCUGCUUUUGUGGGGUGCUCGAGUGGCGAACGGGUGAGUAACACGUGAGUAACCUGCCCUUGACUUUGGGAUAACUUCAGGAAACUGGGGCUCAUACCGGAUAGGAGCUCCUGCUGCAUGGUGGGGGUUGGAAAGUUUCGGCGGUUGGGGAUGGACUCGCGGCUUAUCAGCUUGUUGGUGGGGUAGUGGCUUACCAAGGCUUUGACGGGUAGCCGGCCUGAGAGGGUGACCGGCCACAUUGGGACUGAGAUACGGCCCAGACUCCUACGGGAGGCAGCAGUGGGGAAUAUUGCACAAUGGGCGGAAGCCUGAUGCAGCAACGCCGCGUGCGGGAUGACGGCCUUCGGGUUGUAAACCGCUUUCGCCUGUGACGAAGCGUGAGUGACGGUAAUGGGUAAAGAAGCACCGGCUAACUACGU
rnacentral:rRNA from 1 species